AUGGCACAUUGUCCCAGUGCCUUAGUCACAAACUGGCUUUAUGACAAGACUCCAGGCAGCUGCCAAGGUCAGAGAAGCCUGAGCCUUGGACCUCAAAUUGCAUACAAAGUAAGCUCUAGACAAGGAAACAUACGGGAAACAACUUUUGAGACUGAUAAGUUCUGGAGCCUGAGAAGUUCAAGAUCAAGGUACCAGCGGAUUCAUUGUCUUGUAAGAGUCCAGACUCUGAUUUCAAGAUGGCGCUUUGAAUGGUUCUGCAUACAAACAGAAUUACCGACGCCAGCUGGUCUGAAGGGCCUGGUGAGAAGCUGACUCAUAGAAGAAUGCAGUUUUCACAUCCUGAUGACUUCAUCCCCUUCCCGGACCAAUUGGCAAUCCCUAUUUUCCAGCCACUCACCUUUCACCAUCGCCCUAAAAACCCUUGCCCAGAACUCCUGACAAAAGAGACUUGAGGCUUGAGAAUUCCUCCAGUUUCCUUGUUGGGUGAACUUGCAAUUACUAAAUUCUUUUUCUGCUGCAAACCUUGCUGUCUCAGUGUAUUGGUCUGUUGCUGGCAUACAAACCUGGCAGUCUUGUAAAAAAGAUCAUGAAAAGACAAGCCACAGACUGAGAGAAAAUAGUGAGAGCACAGGGGAUUUUUAACACAGUGAAAUUAUUCUGUAUAAUACCUUAAUGGUAGAUACAUGGCAUUAUGCAUUUGUCCAAACUCACAGGACAGUACAACACAGAAUUAAUUUUAAUAUAAACUACAGACUUUAGAAAGUAAACUAAAUCAUCUUUAGUUAAUAAUAAUAAUAUCAUUAUUUGUUCAUUAAUUGUAACAA
rnacentral:lncRNA from 13 species